GGACGAACGCUGGCGGCGUGCUUAACACAUGCAAGUCGAACGGUGAAGGGACUGGUUUUGCUGGUCCUGGAUGAGUGGCGAACGGGUGAGUAACACGUGAGUAACCUGCCCCCUUCUUCUGGAUAACCGCAUGAAAGUGUGGCUAAUACGGGAUAUUCUGGGUCUGUCGCAUGGUGGGCCUGGGAAAGGUUUUUUUCCGGUGGGGGAUGGGCUCGCGGCCUAUCAGCUUGUUGGUGGGGUGAUGGCCUACCAAGGCGGUGACGGGUAGCCGGCCUGAGAGGGUGGACGGUCACACUGGGACUGAGACACGGCCCAGACUCCUACGGGAGGCAGCAGUGGGGAAUAUUGCACAAUGGGCGCAAGCCUGAUGCAGCGACGCCGCGUGAGGGAUGGAGGCCUUCGGGUUGUGAACCUCUUUCGCCAGUGAAGCAGGCCUGCUCCUUUUUUGUGGGUGGGUUGACGGUAGCUGGAUAAGAAGCGCCGGCUAACUAC
rnacentral:rRNA from 1 species